rnacentral:rRNA from 1 species
GACGUAGGGUGCGAGCGUUGUCCGGAUUUAUUGGGCGUAAAGAGCUCGUAGGCGGCUCGUCGCGUCGACCGUGAAAACCCGCGGCUUAACUGCGGGCUUGCGGUUGAUACGGGCGGGCUAGAGUUCGGUAGGGGAGACUGGAAUUCCUGGUGUAGCGGUGAAAUGCGUAGAUAUUGGGAAGAACACCGGUGGCGAAGGCGGCCAUCUGGACCGGAACUGACGCUGAGGCGCGAAAGCCAGGGGAGCGAAUGGG